GACGAACGCUGGCGGCGUGCUUAACACAUGCAAGUCGAACGGAAAGGCCUGCUUUCCCUUGUGGAUUGCGGGUACUCGAGUGGCGAACGGGUGAGUAACACGUGAGUGAUCUGCCCCCAACUUGGGUAUAAGCCUGGGAAACUGGGUCUAAUUCCCGAUAGGACUGCAGGGUGGUGCCUGUGGUGGAAAACGUUUUUCUAGUUGUUGGGGAUGAGCUCGCGGCCUAUCAGCUUGUUGGUGGGGUAAUGGCCUACCAAGACGGCGACGGGUAGCCGGACUGGGAGGGGCGACAGCGACAUUGGGACUGGGUUACGGCCCAGACUGCUACGAGAGGCAGCAGUGGGGAAUAUUGGACAAUGGGCGGGAGCCUGAUGCAGCGCCGCCGCGUGGAAGAUGACGGCCUUCGGGUUGUAUGCUCCUUGCGAACAAGAGGAAGCCACCUGGUUGGAAGGGUGGUGACGGUAGUGGUAGAAGAAGCACCGGCUAACUACGUG
rnacentral:rRNA from 1 species